UGGGGAAUAUUGGGCAAUGGGCGCAAGCCUGACCCAGCAACGCCGCGUGAAGGAAGAAGGUUUUCGGAUUGUAAACUUCUGUCAUUGGGGACGAAAAAAAUGACGGUACCCGAUGAGGAAGCCCCGGCUAACUACGUGCCAGCAGCCGCGGUAAUACGUAGGGGGCGAGCGUUGUCCGGAAUUACUGGGCGUAAAGGGUGCGUAGGCGGCGAUGCAAGUCCAUUGUGAAAAGCCCGGGCUUAACCUGGGAGGUGCAGUGGAAACUGUGUGGCUUGAGUGCAGGAGAGGAAAGUGGAAUUCCUAGUGUAGCGGUGAAAUGCGUAGAUAUUAGGAGGAACACCAGUGGCGAAGGCGACUUUCUGGACUGUAACUGACGCUGAGGCACGAAAGCGUGGGGAGCAAACA
rnacentral:rRNA from 1 species